ensembl:lincRNA
CCUUCUUUCCAGCCAUCUCCCCUCCUCAGAACAGCCCUCGUCCCCUGAAAGGGCAGUCUGACUCAGCCCCAGCGGCCGCCCCGCCCCUCCUACAGGUCCUCCCUUUGCCCUUGAAAUGGAAGACAAGGCAGCAAGGAUCCGGCCGCACCUCACGCAGUGCCCAGCCUGCUGGCAGCCAGAGCCCUGCAGAGCAGGACAGGCAGAACUACCACGCCCCACAGAGGGAAGACUAGCAUCCUUCAUUCCAGACAAAAGGAACUACAGAAACUUAUCAGACCACCUGAGAGCAAAGAGGCUGAUCUUCCCAUUCAAUGAUUAGCGUGGCAAGGCAGCCGUCUCCAGGGGAUUAUUGCAGCGCAGUUUCAGAAGCGUGUGCUACAGUGGCCAGUGGCAAAUCAUCGGAACCUCUGCUACUGAAACAGUUAUAGUCCUUUGAAAAUAGUUUAUCACAAGAAGUCUAUCUUACAGAAAAAUUCCAAAUACUGUAUGUUGGCACACUGGCUCUGGAGGUUGUUGCUGGAUCUUCCUCACCUUGAGUGUGAUCUGGACAGACUGAACUCCUUGCCAACAACAGAGUCUGGGAAAGGAAGCUGAGCAACUUAUAGUGGACAUACCUGGCAAUGUCACCUGAACUGCAUGAUCAAGGUCAACUUCACCAGCAAUGCCAUAGGGCUUCUAUAAACCCCGUGGUGAGAAGCAGUUGAAAAGUACCUCAACUUUGUGAUCUAUUUCUGCAAAACCCAUAACUCCAGUCUAAUGGUGGGAAGACAUCAGAGAGACACCAAACACUUCAGCAUUCUUCAAAACUCUCUACUUCCCAAGAACAAGGAGAAACCAAGAAAUGUACUCAUUGAAUGAGACAAGAGGACCAAGGCAAUGUAUGAUCCUGGACUGGGUCGUGGAACAGAAAAUGAACAGUAGUAAAAAGACUGGGAAAAUUCAGAUACGAUCUGCAGUUAACAGUUUUGUGUGAAUAUUAUUUGUUUUCUUCUUGAUGUGCUCAGUUGUGUCAGACUCUUUAUGACCCCAUGAACUUAGCCUGCCAGGUUCCUCUGUCCACGGAAAUUUCCAGACAAGAAUACUGGAGUGGGUUGCCAUUUCCUUCUCAAGAGGAUCUUCCCACCCUAAGGAUUGAAUCUGUGUCUCAUAAAUCUCUUGCAUUGAUGGGUGGAUUCUUUACAAUUGACCCACCAUAUCCUGCCUUAUUAUUUGUUUAGUUUUGCCAAAUCUGACAUUAUUGCAUAAUACAUUAAAUCAGAAGAAUCUCUUGAAGGGUAUACCGAAAGUCCUUGUACUAUCACUGCAACAAUUUUUUCUAAAUCUAAAUUUAUUCUGUAAUAAAACAAAAAAAUAUUAUGUCACAUAAGUAGCUUAUACUAAUUGAAAUAAUGAGUAAAACAACCAACUUUGGUGUUUAAGGAUAAAUUAUAAAGUUCUUUCCAAUUGCCUUGUCCAAUUUAAACCAGUUUUGGUCAUGUAUUAAUUUAGUAUGCUUAAGCAAUUUAAAAAUAUAACAAUGGCAACCUAAGACACAGACUGGAACAAAUAUUAUUUGAUUCAGAGAUUAACACAAGGAAAAAUAACAAAAUUUUAAUGCCUCCAGACACACCUUACUGAAAGUAUUCCAGGAUUUUGGUUUUAUUAAAUUGAGUGGGAAGACAAAGGAAUUUUAUUACAUGUUUGAUAAAACAUCCAAGAGGCUUCAGAUUUCUUUUUCUUGUGCUCUUUCGUGAUGAUCACCAGAAUAUUGCAAAAUUAAACACAAACCCAACAAUGUGAAGAAUGCUGAGUGAGACUAACCACAAGCUACAUGAAAGAGACAAUUAAUCCAUUGAACACAGAACUCACUUUUUUUUUUUCUGUUCUCUUCUUUAAUUGACUGUUUUAGUCACUUGUGGUUCUCACUGAAAAGGUCCAAUGCCUGUGGCCAGCAGUCAUCCCUUUAGACAGCCUUCCAGAUGCCACCCUCAGCCAACAGGGAAACUUGAGAAGCAGCCCACAUAAACCUCUUGUUCUAAUGCAGAAAUCCCAGCCAUUGUUUUGUUAGGAACCCAAGGCCAGUCUCUUUCAGUGCAUAAAGGGACUUAACUAACCGAUGUCCAUCUGGACCUUGCAUUUUAUUUCAGUCUUACAAUCCCGGGUAGCUGCUCUUUGAUCUCUCUUUAGAUUGAUCUUCCUCAUCCUAUAGAGUGGGUUAGGGCUGGGAAGGUUGCCACUUGUUUUUACAGAUAAAAAUACUUAACAUGUGUCAUUGAUUCUAACCUCCAUAUUGUGAGGAACAGUCAACCCAGUCCUGCCUUUUGUAAACUUCCCUGGAUCAAAAAAUUACUGAUAACAUAACCAUGGACUGUAGCCCAGCAAGCCCCUCUAUCCAUGGAAUUCUCCAGACAAGAAUAUUGGAAUGGGUUGCCAUUUCCUUCUUCAGGUGUCUUUUUGACCCAGGGUUCGAAUCGGUGUCUCCUGAAUUGCAGGCAGAUUGUUUACCAUCUGAGCUUCCAGGGAAGACUCCACCUAAUCAUAUAAGGUACUAAAUAUGAGGAAUAAAAUCCACAAUUCCAUGGACUUAAAUUUCUUUCUCUCGUUAUCUUUUUUUUAAGCCAUAUUGAAGUGUAACUGACGUAUAAAGCUGUUCUCAAAGUGUGCGCUCUGGUGACCUCAUAUAGGUGUACUCUGUGAAAGGAUCCUCACCGUCUUCAUAGUCAAUUAACACACCUC